rnacentral:rRNA from 1 species
UGAGGAAUUUUGCGCAAUGGGGGAAACCCUGACGCAGCAACGCCGCGUGAGUGAAGAAGGCCUUUGGGUCGUAAAGCUCUGUCAACAAGGAAGAAGUUACAGUUAUCUAAUAGAUGUCUGUAUUGACGGUACU